UAUAACGAGUUGAGCUGAAAUUCCGUACAUUACACUAUAUGAUAGUUCUAUGAUUAUAUCAUAUUGGACAUAUAAGUUGUUUUCUCCAAAAGAAAAAAAAAAGAUAUUUGGUGAAGACUCAUCAGCUCGGCGUCCUCGGAAGAGUCGAGAGACUCAAGAAGACUCAACUACUCAAGGCCUCAAGGGCGCGGGCUUGCCGGCCCCAGAUCUGCCGCGGUGGCUGUGCAGCAGCCAGGGCCGAGCCCAGUUAACCGGGACUGUCUUCGUCAGCUGGCCUGCCUUCGCCCCUGCUCCGCCGCCCUCUCCGGACCUUAUCGAUCAUUCGAUCACCAUCCUCCGGUUCGAUCCUUGUUCGAUUUCUGCUACCUCCAUGUUAGGUUCCCGUCCACGAUGCUGCCGUAGAGCCUCCACGGCCGUCAUCUUGUCGCGGUGUCCUCCCGCACGUGGUCAAACAGAAGGUGCGCCUGCCUCGAUAGGGUGGAGGUUGAUGCUGCUGGGGGUUGACACGGAGGGAUCGACCAGGUGGAGACACGCCGACGGACUUCCACAUGGUGAGGGCGAGGGGGUUGAACAAUAGCGCGGAGAGGUAGUCGACGGAGAGCCGAAGGGAUUGGGCUGGUUGGGCCAGUCGAGGCGGCCAGGCCCGCGCAUGUAGCUAGCAGGCGGUAAGGCUGUGCUAGCUUGGUACGACAGUGGUAGUCAGCCGAUCGCGGAGGAGGCCAGUGGCGAGGACGCGGACGCGGCGAAGGACAUCGCGAUAAGAUGACUGCGGCGGAGGCCCUGCGGCGACAUCGUCACCACGGCAACGGAGAUUUUACCAGAUCUAUCCUAGUACCAUGCAUGUACACGGACGCACACAACGCAUGCUUGUGCGUAAUUCGCGUUCGGCCCAGAGGCGGGACGACGGCGGAUGAGGAGGCCAGUGGAAUUCUAAUUUGCAGGUUAGCUAGGAGCUAACACAUGCGUGACAAGAAAACCUCAGAACUCUGACCAAGACCACUAGACCAGGUGGGUGGCGAUGCGCCGGCCAAUUCCAUGGCCCUUGUCCGGAGGAAACGAAGCAACGAGGCGGCGACUGCAAUUGGAGAUUGGGAAGGAAUGGAUGGCGUCGGCGGCGGUGACGACGGCUCCGAUCGAGGGGAGUGGAUGGUGUUCAUACAUUGUGGAUUCACAUCCUGCAAUAUAAUGAGAACACCGGGACUCUCUUCUAAAAGGCGGCGAUGGCGGGAUGGAGCGAGGAGUCGUCCGGUGGAUGGCGGGCGGCUUACUUCGGUAGUCCGACGGCGCGUGGGUAGGUGCACUCGGCGCAAGCGUCGGGGGUGGGCAGUGGCACGGCUCCACUUCCUUGCGGUUGCCUCUCCGGCCUCCGACGCGGCAGGUUUUGCGUGGGCUGAGGAUCGACCAUUCCGAAUGCUCAGACGUGACGGUCAAUUGGACUCCGACGGGCGGGCUGGCGGUGGCGGCGGCUGAGGCCACGGCUCUCCCUGACAUGACGAACGCCGAAAGGCUGAGAAUUCGGGGGAAAGACAAGGAAGGUUGCAAUGGGGAGCACAACUGCUAAAACAAGUGGCAAAUGAGGUCUUCAACUCGCAGUUCGGAUGGCGCAUCAGGCAAAGAAGAUUAGCUGGUAGUUGAGGACACAAUGGUGAAUUGGAGAGAAAUGAGAUGAGUUGUGGAGAGAUAGCUUAAACUCUAAGGCCUGUGCUAGCUGGCUUUCGUUUUGUUUUUGUUUCUUUUGUGAGCACCUGGGGGUUCUUCCCCUCUGGUUUUCCAAGACUCCUUUUUUUGUAAGAACUCAUGCGUUUCUUUAAUGGAAAUGGAGGGCUCUGCCCUUUGCUCAAAAAAAAAAAA